GUCUUAGCUCAGUGGUAGAGC
rnacentral:siRNA from 1 species